rnacentral:rRNA from 1 species
AUUGAACGCUGGCGGCAGGCCUAACACAUGCAAGUCGAGCGGAUGAAGGGAGCUUGCUCCUGGAUUCAGCGGCGGACGGGUGAGUAAUGCCUAGGAAUCUGCCUGGCAGUGGGGGAUAACGUCCGGAAACGGGCGCUAAUACCGCAUACGUCCUGAGGGAGAAAGUGGGGGAUCUUCGGACCUCACGCUAUCAGAUGAGCCUAGGUCGGAUUAGCUAGUUGGUGGGGUAAAGGCCUACCAAGGCGACGAUCCGUAACUGGUCUGAGAGGAUGAUCAGUCACACUGGAACUGAGACACGGUCCAGACUCCUACGGGAGGCAGCAGUGGGGAAUAUUGGACAAUGGGCGAAAGCCUGAUCCAGGCAUGCCGCGUGUGUGAAGAAGGUCUUCGGAUUGUAAAGCACUUUAGGUUGGGAGGAAGGGCAGUAAGUUAAUACCUUGCUGUUUUGACGUUACCAACAGAAUAAGCACCGGCUAACUUCGUG